UGCAUUGUUUCCCACUAAUUC
rnacentral:piRNA from 1 species